rnacentral:rRNA from 1 species
AUUGAACGCUGGCGGCAUGCUUUACACAUGCAAGUCGAGCGGCAGCGCGGGGGGUAACCCUCGCGGCGAGCGGCGGACGGGUGAGUAAUGCAUCGGAACGUAUCCCGUAGUGGGGGACAACCCAGCGAAAGCUGGGCUAAUACCGCAUAUGCUCUACGGAGGAAAGUGGGGGACCUGAAAGGGCCUCACGCUAUGGGAGCGGCCGAUGUCCGAUUAGCUAGUUGGUGGGGAAAGGCUUACCAAGGCGACGAUCGGUAGCUGGUCUGAGAGGAUGAUCAGCCACACUGGGACUGAGACACGGCCCAGACUCCUACGGGAGGCAGCAGUGGGGAAUUUGACAAUGGGGGCAACCCUGAUCCAGCCAUGCCGCGUGCGGGAAGAAGGCCU